AUUGAACGCUGGCGGCAGGCCUAACACAUGCAAGUCGAACGAGUGGCGGACGGGUGAGUAAUGUCUGGGAAACUGCCCGAUGGAGGGGGUUAACUCCGGGAAACGGUAGCUAAUCCCGCAUACCAUGGGAUGUGCCCAGAUGGGAUUAGCUGGUGGGUGGGGUAACGGCUCACCAGGGCGACGAUCCCUAGCUGGUCUGAGAGGAUGACCAGCCACACUGGAACUGAGACACGGUCCAGACUCCUACGGGAGGCAGCAGUGGGGAAUAUUGCACAAUGGGCGCAAGCCUGAUGCAGCCAUGCCGCGUGUAUGAAGAAGGCCUUCGGGUUGUAAAGUACUUUCAGCGAGGAGGCGUUACUCGCAGAAGAAGCACCGGCUAACUCCGUGCCAGCCGCCGCGGUAAUAC
rnacentral:rRNA from 1 species